rnacentral:rRNA from 1 species
UACAGAGGUCCCAAGCGUUGUUCGGAUUUACUGGGCGUAAAGGGCGCGUAGGCGGCAAAUUAAGUCAGCUGUGAAAUCUCCGAGCUUAACUCGGAACUGUCAGCUGAUACUGAUGUGCUAGAGUGCGGAAGGGGCAAUCGGAAUUCUUGGUGUAGCGGUGAAAUGCGUAGAUAUCAAGAGGAACACCUGAGGUGAAGACGGGUUGCUGGGCCGACACUGACGCUGAGUGCGCGAAAGCCAGGGGAGCAAACGGG